AUUGAACGCUAGCGGGAUGCUUUACACAUGCAAGUCGAACGAGUGGCGGACGGGUGAGUAAUAUAUCGGAACGUGCCCAGUAGCGGGGGCUAACUACUCGAAAGAGUGGCUAAUACCACAUACUAUUGGAGCGGCCGAUACCGGAGUCGCUAGUUGGUGGGGUAAAGGCUCACCAAGGCAACGAUCCGUAGCGGGUUUGAGAUGACGCCCAGCGACACUGGUACUGAGACACGGCCCAGACUCCUACGGGAGGAAGCAGGGUGGGAUUUUGGACAAUGGGUGAAACCCUGAUCCAGCCAUCCCGCGUGUAUGAGAAGGCCUUCGGGUUGUAAAGUACUUUUGGCAGAGAAGCGGUAUCUGCAUAAUAAGCACCGGCGAACUACGUGCCAGCCGCCGCGGUAAUUC
rnacentral:rRNA from 1 species